CAAACAGCGAAUACACGGCAGAGUGCAGCUCUCUCAGCACAAAAUGGUUUGUAUUCUCUGUGCUCAGGGUCGAGAGUUCUUAGUACAUACAUCAUUUGAGGCUUUCUGAGUUGAUCCCACAAAGUAACAUGCACCGGCCUCCUGACACAGAUGAAGAAGUGCAGCCAACCCAUGGCUGAGGAGGGUAGCCCCGCCAUGAGGUGAGCCCUUGGCUCCUAACUCCAGUGAACCCUGCAUUUCCCAAGAACUUUGUAGGAAUAAGUUCAUCAAUGUUCAUGACCCACAGUAGGAAUGAAAAUCCCUCUGUAUGCAUGCAUACAAUAUGAAGAUUCACAGCCUGAUGAAUUUUCUGGGCGAUGGACCACUGCAACUUUGUGACAUACAAAUUUGAAUUCUUGUACUUUCUGAUUUUCUUAUUCGUCACUGAAAAAGGAAAAAGCAAGAUGGAUGUCUGUAACUAAACAGCUGCUCCAGGACUUUGGUCCAGAAAUACAAGGCUCCACUGUCCAUCAAAGAUACAUUUUUGACCCAUGUUGGACGGAAGCAGGCUGGAGAGAGGAAACAUCACCCCAGCACAGCAGAGAGAGGGAGAGAAACCAGGAGCCUGUAUCUCUAAUGACAACGGGUAUGCAGAGACAGCCUGAUAAACACGGGUUCUCUAUGAUUCUUUCAAGACUGUGUUCUCUGACAAGAUAAAGUAAAUACUCGUUUGUGGGACUUUACAACUGCACAAGGCUACAGCUACUGUCCAAGGAAACUGGAAAAAAAAAAUUCUUAGGAUGAUGUGAAACUGAAACAAAAGAACAGAAGGAGACAGACAAUCAUGAACAAGCAUUUAACAGUACAUCAUGAUCCCACCUGUGUGUGUUUCCUCUGCCAUCAAGAAGUAAACAUGGUUAGCAAAUGUCCAAGUCUGUGACAAAACCUAUCACCAACAAAAGCCAAUGAAGUACAAGAAAAUUCCUGGUAAAUAAAAUUAUCACUCU